CGCCCGGCCCCACCUGCACACUGAGUCCAUGCAGCGCCUCAGGAUCCGGAUCCUCCAGACAGACAGACAGACCUCCAGGCUGUCAGACCCACAUCCAGCAGCACUGACCCAUCCAGCGGCUCUGCCUGCCUCCUCUCCGGGGAUUCUGUUGCUCGGGAUGCUUGCAGGGUCCUUGAACGCAUCAGAGAAGUUGCCGCGGCUCUCCUGUUGAUCCAGCUCUUCUUCCUCUCCCGCGUUUCAGGAAUAUUCCGCUGCUCUCACCUCUUUAUGGCAAAGUUCCUGGCUGAAUUACUGGGAUGCACACUUCCAGACAAGGGCACCCCGCCUCUGUUCGAGUGUCGGAGCCAGCCCCCCCUCUCUCUGAGGCCGUCCUCCAAACAGCGGUCAACAAUCUUCGGGGCGUUAACCAAUGAGAGAGCUCUGUUCGACAACAGACUGGUGAGUCACCUCCAUGUCAACUUCUUAU